rnacentral:tRNA from 1 species
AAGAGUUUAGUUUAUAGUUAAAAUGUUAGAUUGUAAAUCUAAAGAAAAUAUUCUUA